UCCGCGCCUGCGCAGAUCGGGGAAGGUUCUGGAAGACUGUGGAGCUGCCGCCAUUUUGCGGGAAGUGGAGCAGCUCCGGUUGCUGUGGUGCUUUUAUUGCGGAGUGUCUGGAAGAGAGACAUACUUAGCACCCUCCGACACACCCAGAGGAACCGAAGGAACCGGGGUCCCCCUGCGGGGACCCGGAACUGGUAAGAAACCCCGAAACCGGUCCCCCCGUCGCGACGUCACCUAUGCGUGACGUUGUCGCACGGCCCCUCCCCCUUACGUCAGAGGCAGAAAAUGGCGUUAAGAGCAGAAUGGGGCAAACUUUUAAAAUAAAUUUUUUUUGGCUUUCUUUGAUCUGGAAGUGUUCGCUACUUAAUUGUUGUCCACUGGCACUGUAUUAGGGAUCGGCAGCCUCGUGGCUGUGUCUACCGAUGAAAGACUGUUUCAAGGAUCCCCGUGACUGAUCCCUUUCCAGGUUCCCACAUUGCUGAUGUUUAGAGUCCCACGUACUGUGGAGGGACAGUCUCAGAGGACACUUGGGAUCGGUUUUCAGGCCCUAGUGGCACUACUCAGAGAGAUGAGGGAAUUGAGAUUUAUUCCUCAGUGUCUGAAGUUUCACGUUCCGUGUUUGGUCACUGCUCACACAUUCCGUGGCGGCGGUAGAGGAAUAUAGUGAGGCCACAAACGAGGUUUCAGCAUCAGGAUACCGGCCCUCGCAGAGAUGCUGCCCGUCGGUUACUUGUAGGUCCGUGUUUUGAAAUGUGGCCUUGGCUUGUUACACAGCGUGGGGAAUGUUUUUAUCUUUUUCAUUGUUGCUGUACUUAAUUAAGCUGUCUUGUGCCCAGCUCAGUGACCGGACCCAGGAGAUGGCGCUACCAUCACCCCUGGAACUUCAGCGUUUGGUGAAUUAUGCCCAAUCCAGGCCAACCGCGGUUCUUCAUUCUCCUUUGCCCCCGCAGCAGUGGGACCCAAGCGCUGACGUGGGUCUUGACUGUGUGGCAUGACAGGGUCCAUGCAGCGCCAUGGUUGUGGAACCCUAAUGCAAUUUUUCAGAGCAGGGUUGGAGGAAAGCAAAGUUUUAAUGGAUGGGAUUGAAUGGACUUUGACCAGUAAUUAGGACUUAAUUUGAAAACUUCCAACCAGAAAACUCAUAAUAUUUUUAGAACAUUUAGAAAGAUAGAUUAGACCCAGUGAGAUUUCAAGUUGCAAAGUGUGCUGGUGUUAUAUAUAUGUGUGUGAUUAAAUAGAUUCAUUCGUUUCUGAAGUCUGAAAACUUUAUUCCAUAGGUAGGGGUUCACUUGUUGACUUAUCUGAAGGUUUUCCUUUUUGGUAAGUUAUUCUUAUUCUCUACUAGCCACUGAACAGUUAAGAGCAGUUCUUGAAAUCAGAAAGCAUUUUAUUUGGAGGGUUAAAGGCAGACUGUAAAAAAUGAAGAACAUUACGACGAUUUGAAAAUUUGUAUUCCAACCAAUAGGACUGAAAGGAACAGUCAGUAGAUGAAAAACUUACUUUUAGAACUAUUUUCCCACAAUAGGCUGGGUAGCAUAUAUUAAAAUCAGCCUGGUUACGGAUAUAUUGAAGCAUAUACUGUUACCGAAUAUCUGUAAGCCACACAAUAAGGUGUGACUAAUGGGACUGAUUCAUUUGAUAAACCUAUCAGAACAUUAAUUCUCCAGAUAAGUAUAUAUUUAAAAGUAGAUAUCUUGGUAUGCUGUGUGCUUCUCUUUUUGAAGUUUCUUUUGAGGUUAAGUUAUAAACUACAUGAGAGGUAACCUAGACUAAGGGUCAGAAGAUUUCUUUUUAUUUAUUUUUUUGUCUUUUUGCCAUUUCUUGGGCCACUCCCAUGGCAUGUGGAGGUUCCCAGGCUAGGGGUCGAAUGGGAGCUGUAGCCACUGGCCUACACCAGAGCCACAGCAACGCGGCAUCCGAGACGAGUCUGCAACCUAUACCAGGGCUCAUGGCAACGCCGGAUCCUUAACCCACUGAGUGAGGCCAGGGAUCGAACCCACAACCUCAUGGUUCCUAGUCAGAUUAGUUAACCACUGAGCCAUGACAAGAACUCCAAGAGUCAGAAGAUUUCUGAUCAAGGUCAGCUCCUCCUUUUGAGGUAUAUGACUGGGCAGUUCACAAAACCUUAGUUUGUUUCUUGUUUUUUUGGUCCUUUGAGGGCCAAGCCUGUGGCGUAUGGAAGAUCUCAGGCUGGAGGUCGAAUCAGAGCUGCAGCUGCUGGCCUACACCACAGACACAGCAGCACCAGAUCUGCGCCUCAUCCGAGACCGAUACCACAGCUUGCGGCAACACUGGAUCCUUAACCCACUGAGCGAGGCCAUGGAUUGAACCUGCAUCCUUGUGGAUACUAGUUGGGUUCUUAACACUCUUAAGCUGCAAAGGGAGCUCUAAACCUUAGUUUUUUCAUCUAUGCAUCAGAUUCAGUAUGUCUCUGUAGCAUAUGUUACAACUGAUUGCUAAAUAAAUGUAAGGUGUUAUAAGAGAUUGAGUUCAUUGGUUUUUAGACACACCUAUUUGGUUUUGGUUUGUUUUCCAUUUUAAUCCUUAAAUUUGGGAGUUCCCUGGUGGUUUAGAGAUUAAGGGUCCAGCAUUAUCACUACAGUGUACUGCUGUGGUGUGGGUUUGAUCCCUGAUCCAGGAACUUCUGCAUGCCACAGGCAUGGCCGAAAUAAAAUAAAAUCCUUGAAUUUGGCUCCAAGUCAGUUUUAUUGUUUGGCUCUUGUCAAGAAUCUUAUCUUUGUAACAUGUUUAGCACAGUGCCUAGCAACAUUAGAUAGAAAAAUGAUAGAUAUGAUUACUCUCAUUCAGUCAUCAAAAUAGGGUGGCCUAAGGCAACCAAGACAGCAUGAUUGGAUGAUGCAUUAGCUGCUUUAAGGAAGACACAGCUCUUCUGGAUGUGGAAAGUCUGAUUAUGAUUAGCCUCCAUACAUAGAAGUUCUUCAGAUUUGUGUAUUUUUUUCCAGCUUUAUUAAGAGAUAAAUCACAUGAAAUAAAACUACACAUUAAAGUAUACAGUUUGAUGGAUUUUGAUGUGUUUUAAUAUGUGUUAACUAACACCCAUGAAACCAUUGCCCCUAAAAUUUCCAAAGUGCCCUUUUGUAAUCCUUUCCUUCUGGCCCCUUCCCACCUUUUCCUAUUCCUAGGUAACCAGCGAUAUAUAGUUUCUGCUUUCUGUCACUACAGAAAUUUUAUGGAAUUUUAUGUAAAUUCCUGUAAUUUUAUGUAAAUAUAAUCAUACUAUAUAUAUCUUUAAACAUAUUUUCGUACACUUAGCAUAAUUAUUUUGAGAUUCAUCCAUGCUAUGUACAUUGAUGAUUGCAAGCUAGUUAAUUUUUGAAUAAUUUAUUCUAUUGAUUUGUUUGGUGUCUUCUGUUUUUCUUAUUUGACAGAGCUAUGGUGGACAGACUUGGGAAAGACGAUUGCUAGAUGUCAAAGCUUGGGGUAGGCAGAUGAGAAGUCUUACCUUGCCUGCCUAGACAAAAAAUCUUCAAAGUGGGACUGGUUAAGCCUGUCUUAGUCAGAGUCUUUCUGAAUUACUUAAACUCAGAGUUGGUAUUAUACAGAAAAUAUCUAAUGAUAAAUCCUCUCAUUUUUGGUGUUUGGGUGGGGCAUGUGGGGAAGAGCUUAGGGCAGAUCUGCAUUAUUCUGGUAUUGCUUUGUCUUGCUCCCAAUUUUUACUUUUGCCUUCUUACCUUUUUUUGGAAAUACAUGCUGAUUUAAGUUUAAAUCAGUUAUUUAUUCAGAGUUUUGAACAGUAGAAUGGAGGCUAAGUGUCCAUUGUAAGGUGAAUAGUAAUUUUGAGUGCCAACAUUUUCUCUUCAUAGGACAGGGUCUAUAUUGUAUUUUGUCUCUGCCUCGAUAUUCACUUUCCUUUUAGACCCCUGACCUUUCUAAGCCACAAAGCAGAACUAGUUCAGAUCUGUAAGAUGCAAAAAUAAACCUAGGGUAAGCAACAGCUGGUAAGAUCUCUGGAGUUCAAGGAACAGAACUAUGUAUCCUGAAGUCUGUUUCUUGGAGUGGGGAGGGAAUGUGCUGGAAGGGGAGGAAGAAUAUAAGUGAACUUCUUAUGUAUUGAUGUUCUCUCCUCAGAUCUGCUACAAUGGCAUCCGAUGACUUUGAUAUAGUGAUUGAGGCCAUGCUGGAGGCUCCCUAUAAAAAAGAGGAGGACGAGCAGCAGAGGAAAGAGAUCAACGAGGAGAGCCCUAACACCACCACCAAUAGCACCAGCAGCACCAGCAACAGUGGCAGUGGUACCAGUGGGAGCAGCGCCAGUGGGGAGGCAAGCAAGAAAAAGAGGAGUCGGAGCCAUAGUAAAAGCAGGGAUAGAAAACACAGUCGUAGUCGAGACCGGGACCGGGAUCGUCACAGGCGGAGAGGCAGUCGGAGCCGAAGUCGAGAUCGGCAGCGUCGUCACCGCAGCCGCAGCUGGGAUCGUCGACACAGUGAGUCACGAAGUCGAGACCGGCGUCGUGAGGAUCGUGUGCACUACAGGAGUCCACCGCUUGCCACUGGGUAUCACCUUUUGUUCUUAAGCUCCCCUUUGUAUCUUAAUCUGGGUAAAGCAAGUGCACUGCGUUCCCUGCCUGAGGGUGCUUAUAACCCAUUGUGAUGGGCAGGAGCCCCAGGUCCUGGAGGGGUGAUGCUAGAAUUCAUGUAUGUGAUGAGGUGCUGUAGUCUUCGCAUGGUGGAAGACCCAGCAAGCACUAGGCCGACGUGAGUAAAGUUGGGUGACACGGUUUUCAGUUUUUGUUCUCUGUUCCCUAGGCGUAGGUAUGGACACAGUAAGAGUCCUCAUUUCAGAGAGAAGAGCCCGGUCAGGGAGCCUGUUGAUAAUCUGAGUCCCGAGGAGCGUGAUGCCCGCACAGUGUUCUGUAUGCAGUUAGCUGCGCGCAUUCGGCCCCGAGACCUAGAGGACUUUUUCUCUGCUGUUGGCAAGGUUCGAGACGUACGUAUCAUCUCAGAUCGGAACUCACGUCGUUCUAAGGGCAUCGCCUACGUGGAAUUCUGUGAGAUCCAGUCUGUGCCACUGGCCAUUGGGCUAACCGGGCAGCGGCUGCUGGGAGUGCCUAUCAUUGUACAGGCCUCACAGGCUGAGAAAAACCGACUGGCAGCCAUGGCCAACAACCUGCAGAAGGGCACUGGGGGACCAAUGCGCCUCUAUGUGGGCUCGCUGCACUUCAAUAUCACCGAGGACAUGCUCCGUGGCAUCUUUGAGCCCUUUGGCAAAAUCGAUAAUAUUGUCCUAAUGAAGGACUCAGAUACAGGCCGCUCUAAAGGUUAUGGUUUUAUCACGGUGAGUCUCUAGUCUUUAACUUUUUAAUUUUAGGUUGGGUUUAUCCACUUGUCUGAUUUUGCAGCUUAGCUUCAUCCUCCUCCCAUAGGAACUGUCUAAGUGACCCAUAAACCUUGGUGCCUGAAGCUUGGACUAGCCUUCUGCCCCUUGAGAUGAGUGCAUUGCUUGAGAUCUUGGCUUUGCUCCUACACUCUGUCAGUGGCACUGGUGUGGGGUGUCCAGGAGUUCAACCAGCUUCCCUGGUGCUACAGCUUGCUCUUUGGUUCUCUGACUCUGAGUGUGCCCGACGGGCUCUGGAACAGUUGAAUGGCUUUGAGCUUGCUGGUCGACCUAUGAGGAUUGGCCAUGUGACUGAGCGGCUGGAUGGCAGCACAGACAUCACCUUUCCUGAUGGAGACCAGGAGCUGGACCUGGGAUCAGCAGGUGGACGUCUGCAGCUCAUGGCCAAGUUGGCAGAAGGCUCUGGAAUCCAGCUGCCAACCACUGCUGCCGCUGCCGCUGCCCAAGCUGCUGCCUUGCAGCUGAAUGGAGCAGUUCCUUUGGGGGCCCUGAACCCAGCAGCUCUGACUGCUCUGAGUCCGGCCCUGAACCUGGCCUCCCAGGCAAUCGCCUCCCAAUGCUUCCAGCUUUCCAGCCUUUUUACCCCCCAGACCAUGUAAACCAGUGGCGAGGUCCGAUCCCUCGCUGUGCCUCUGGGUCCUGCUACUCCCUUCUCCACAUCUACCCUUCCACGUCUCCUUCUAUCCAUUUUGUGGACCAAGCCAUCCUGAGGGCAUGAACAUUGAUGGUGGGGGAACUGGGGCCCCCCCUUAGACACCAAGAAGAGCUCCUGCCCAUGGCCCCACUGGGAAUGGACUCUGCUGAGGAAAGCUGCUGUUUGAAGAGAACAGAGUCUACACUUGGGGUUGAACAUCUGUUUCUCUGUAUUUAUCAUCUCCUGGGAUGUCCUUCAUUGUGCUUUCUAGCCACCUUAGUGAUUCCUUGAUUCCUCCCCCGUUGGGAAGGCCAUAGGGCAUUAACUGAAGGAACUAACUGCUCUCUUCCUAUACCUUUACCCUACAUUCUGUCACAGAAAACCCUUAAGACCUCUGGUCUCUGAGGGCUUUGGACUUUGAGGGGGUGAACCUCAAAGGUGCUGACGGGCCUUGAAGUCUAGUGUAGACGUGUCCGUUGGGCAGCCUGCCUUAGACCUUGGCUUGGGGCCAGAGCUGCUACUGGGGGCUUAGCAUCUUGCUGGGAUGUGUGGGAAUGAUCUGUCCUGCCAGCUGGUUUGGAUGUCUUAGGGGCAUUCAGGAGCUGAGUGAAAGGUGAGGUGCCUUUCCAGUAUCUUCCACCUUCCUUUGUGUAGUUGUCCUUCCUUUUGGCCCAGGGUGGGAGGAUAGACUGGAGGCUGCUUCUCUCCACCACUUCCAUGUGCCUCUGGAGAUUGUGGGCUCAAGCCCAGCUGUUAAAGCCACUCCUGUCCCCUAGCUGGGCACACGUGAGCCCUUUUCACUUCUCACUGGAUUUUAUACCCUGUGUCUGUGUACAUAAAUAUAUAUAUAUAUAUAAACUUUGUACAAAAGGCAAGUCUCACUGUUGUGCCAGCUGCUGCCCAUAUGUGUGGUCUCAGUUGUUGGUGUGUCUGUCUAAUGUUCACUUCUCCUGAGCCAAAACCUCAAAUGGUUCUAGGGAUAUAAAACAUUUGUAAUGCCA